GAGGACAAGCACAGGUAUAUUAAAAGUUGUUACGCUUUAUUAACAGAAAUCCUGUUUUUCAGACAAAAAAAAAAAUUAAUAAAAGUAUAGAGAUCAUGUGAAUAAUAACAAUAUUAAUAAUAAAUUACGGAAACACAAGAGAUGCAUCGCACGUCUCACAAACAAGCAGCCAGACAUUAAGGUCACAUGAUCACUAAAUUUACACACCUGAGGCACACAAUAAAAGUUGGUUUCCAUGCCAAUGUUUACAGCGAUAUACAGAACAUUAAUACACUGAAAAACCUCACGACACCAGCCGUCAUUCAGCGGGGAGGAAGGAACAUGGUGGACCGGAUGACUGCUAAAGGAAAUCCAUGCUGUACACACACAUCACAUUAAGAGUUAGCUUGCAGUACAUGGCAAGGCUCUUUGAAUGCAUAUUAGUUCAGUUAGUUUUAAACAUUAUGAUUGAUAAAACGUGGCUGUAUUGCGUUUUUUUUUUCUCCAAAGAAGCGAAUGAGGACGUGAUAUAAAACAGGUGCACAAAUACUUGAAGUUGAAAGUAAAAAAAAUAAAGACAAAACAGGCCAGCACCAGGGCCGUAGCAACCUGCCAGGCUGUCCUGGGCUGAAAGACAAAGUCUGGACCCCUCAGGACACCUCAAGAUAUUACUGACGUUUUUAAACACCAUUUUUUUUUUAAAUUCAUCAGCAAGUGGCAAAAUAUUCAUGUUAUAGGAAGCUCACUCUUAACUUAAACUGUAAAGAUAAAGAACUGACACAAUUUGUUGAUAGUGGACUAGAUGGAACCAGAGGUUCCAUCUGGGUUUUUUCAUAAUAAAAUUCAAAAAGGAGGAAAAAAUGCUUACCGCACAAAGCAUUUAAUUUAUUGUUUGGACAAAUAUUUAAAGAUAAUUAAAAUACCAAAGUUAAUUUGGAUUUAGACUAUAUAAGACCGGUAAAAAAACACAAAACAAACAAAAAAAAACAGGACGCUUAUCAAAUAAAUGUUGCUUUUAAAGACUUUCUGGUCUUCUGUUACACCUUGUCCAUGUUAAAUCAUGAAAAGGUUUCUUUUUAUUUUAUUCAAGGAGAACCUGAGUAAAAACAAAAAGUUAUGUUUGAAUUUUGUGAAAAAGUAAAUGCUCCCUAAACCUAAAUCCUGCUUUGUGAUUACUUGCAUUCAGUCUUUUACAAAAUUGUUUUACUUCAACCACAAUAAAUGGUUUUCAAGCAAGAACGGCUUGUUAACGGUCAUGCCCUUAAAUGAACUGAGGUUUGGACAUUGACUAGGCCAUUGCACAAACUGUAUUUUGCUCAUUUUUGAGCCACUCACUGAACUUCCAAAGUCUUAGUAAUGACUUUGUUACAGAUUGCAAAAACUUUAUUUCUGAUCCAAAUCUCAAUUUCUCCAGAUUGAGGCAUAACUGCCUUGCUUUUGCUGUCUUUUAACCUGCUUCGUGCUGUCAGACAGGUACGAUUUAACAUGUUUUAUUAUUCUACAGGCCUGGCAGGAAGCCGGCAUGCGUGCUGCUAGUGGAACCAAACCAGUUAGUUCAGGAUUUGACAAGGGAGGAAAUUAUAUUUUCACAUUGGGCCGACUGAUUUGGAAGUUUUUGAAUAAAUAUAACUCUUUACUCACGUUAACUCACAUAACAGUUGCAAUAUAAUCGUCUGCAUGAGAAA